GGGUGUGUAGCUCAGCAGGUAGAGCGGAUUCGUAGGCCCAGCCAUGGAAUCGCGUCACCGGUUCAAUUCCGGUCACACCACCCA
rnacentral:tRNA from 1 species